AAUAACAAUGCUUAUCUUUUAUACCAACUUUUACUCAUUUUCACAUGCUUGUUUCACACUCAGAUAUCCUUUUUCGCCAUUUUUCAAAACCAAUUUCACAUUUAAAUCUUUUCAUAUUACUUCUCUCCAUAUUAUUUUAGAUCUCUUUUCCUUCCAACACUAAAUUAUCACAUUUCCUAACUGACAUUUGAUGGUCUGUAUUGCACAUGAUUAAACUAUUUUAAUUAACCCUCUCCCAUUUUAUCCCCAACGGAUUACGUUCACUAUACAAUUAACAUCAACCAAAAUAAAGCAAUAAAUUCCAUCCAUGGUUAAAAUGCUCUACAAAAAAAUAA
rnacentral:misc_RNA from 1 species